UAGACGCGAGCGGGCGGCGGCGCAUCUGGCGUCGACCCAGGGACGGGGGCAGGGACGGGGACGCCGUGUCUGCGUUCCACAGGACUUGGUGGAGAGUUCAUCUGCUUCAGGCUCUAGGAGUAGGCUGGCUCGGGUAUCUUCUUCCCGCCAGCGAGAGGAGGAGGAUGAGGAUGAGGAGGAGGAGGAGGUCAUACCGGAUGUUGACCCUCCAGUCGGGGAGGAGGAGGAGCAGGAGGUGGAUAGCUUUCCGGGAGGGCCUUUUGACACUUCCCUGCUGAUUCACUACCAGGAUCACGUCGCUCGGCGGAUCUGGGAGGGAGAGGAGAGAGAGCCAUUGAAAAUGGUGAACCACUCCAGGAAGAUUUUCGGUCUGUUUAAACCAGCAGCUCAGUGGUUUAACGACCAUGUGCGAGGUUCAGGGCUUUGCGGGCUCUGCAUGACCGGGUACACCACCAUCAGCACCGGCAUACAGGGGGCAUUUGUGGAGCGCUGGCACAAGGAGACGUCUUUUUUCCACUUGCCGGUGGGGGAGUUGACGAUCACCUUGCAUGACGUCCAGUGUCUUCUCCACCUGCCUAUUAGGGGGCCGCUGUUGGACCACUCCAGGAUCCAGAGGGCCGAGGCCAUUGAGUGGAUGAUGCACUAUUUGGGCCUGCCGCACGAGGUUGCUCACCUGGAGUGCGUCUCGACUUCUGGGCCUCAUGUCCGGUUCAACACACUGAGCCUCUAUUUUGAGUUCCACCUGGACGCGGCGGUCGAGGCCGAGCAGGAGGGUAACGACCUAUUCAGGGAGUACCACCGCGGCUGCGCUCUUCGGUGCUGGUACAUGCAUGUGGUAGGCGCUGCAUGCUUUGUGGACAAGAGCCCCAGGUACGUCGACGUGGCCUACCUCCGCUAUUUCAUGGACCUGGAUACCGUUCACCAGUGGAACUAGGGGGCAGCUACUCUGGCAUAUCUCUACCAGAAGCUGAAUGAGGCCUCCAACUGGAGGACGAGGCAGCUGGUCGGAUCCUGCACUCUGCUUACGAGCUGGAUCAUCUCCUACUUCUCCCGCAUCCACGGCUUCCACAUCGAUCCUGUGUACGUUGACGCCAUGCCCAGGGCCGCCAGAUACGCCCUCCAGAGGGGGAACGAUGCGGUGGGACCAUACCGCCUGUACCUGGACCGCACGAUGCACGACGACGUCACCUGGAGGCCGUUCGCCGACUAUGCUCAGGUUGUCCCCUUCGACGGGGUUGCUCUAUAUUCAGGCUGGUUGGCAUGCGGGACCGGCAUCAUGGUCCGGUAUCUCCCGGAGCGGUGCAUGCGGCAGUUUGGGUUCGUGCAGAUCAUACCCAGGUCACCCUUCGAGGCUGCUCCUGACACAGUGACCAGAGUGCAGCUCACUGCCAUAUGGGAGGAGUGGCAGCAUCAUGUGGUAUUGGAGGAGUACCGUCGCAUGCGGGUCACCCAGGACUGGCACAGUGUGGAGGGGUACGUCACAUGGUUCUACCGGGUGUCCCAUCCUCUCUUGAGACUCGACGUUCCCGGCGCUCCUAGGCCAGCACACGAGGAGAUCCUGGAGAACCGGCAGGCGGAGGAUGACCACGCCAUUGAUCUCCUUCCGAUCUGCCAGCGGAUAGAGAUGCUUGGGCGGGACGCGUUGCAUCGAGGUGUCAUUCAUCAGGGCGGACCAGAGGCAGUCGCCGUGAUGGAGAUGAUCGUCACUGAUGCGGGCCGAGCGGCGGGGUACAGGCGGCA